UGACCCUUGUUAAGCCGAGGGUCACCUAGCCAACUGACGUUGUUAGUGAAUAGUAUUGUUCACAUCAUAUAUAAGCCAAUCGCGGUUCUUGCGAUUGGCUAUUUUUUU
rnacentral:sRNA from 15 species